rnacentral:rRNA from 1 species
GAUGAACGCUGGCGGCGUGCCUAAUACAUGCAAGUCGAGCGAACGGACGAGAAGCUUGCUUCUCUGAUGUUAACGGCGGACGGGUGAGUAACACGUGGAUAACCUACCUAUAAUACUGGGAUAACUUCGGGAAACCGGAGCUAAUACCGGAUAAUAUUUUGAACCGCAUGGUUCAAAAGUGAAAGACGGUCUUGCUGUCACUUAUAGAUGGAUCCGCGCUGCAUUAGCUAGUUGGUAAGGUAACGGCUUACCAAGGCAACGAUGCAUAGCCGACCUGAGAGGGGGAUCGGCCACACUGGAACUGAGACACGGUCCAGACUCCUACGGGAGGCAGCAGUAGGGAAUCGUCCGCAAUGGGCGAAAGCCUGACGGAGCAAAGCCGCGUGAGUGAUGAAGGUCUUCGGAUCGUAAAACUCUGUUAUUAGGGAAGAACAUAUGUGUAAGUAACUGUGCACAUCUUGACGGUACCUAAUCAGAAAGCCACGGCUAACUACGUG